UCUAUCGCCCUCUCCGUUCUAAUUUCUGUAGCAGCUUAUAUUCAGGGGUCCUCAUAUUUAGUUGUUGUGUAAACUUAUUUUGUGAAGGGCUAUGCGCUAACCGAGUCUGUUUCGAGAGAAAAAUAGAUGUGGUAGAAUAUCCACGCUACAGUCGUUUGAGCGAUGUGAAAAAGAGAUAAACAUCUCCAUGCUACAACCUUUUUAAAUAGGGGAGAAGAUAGAUGAUGAUUGGCAAAAUAAUCAUGAGAGAGGUCGUGGAUUGUGGAGGUUUGAGUGACUUGGAAAUGGCUUUAAAACAUAAUCCAUGGGUGAUCUUUUUUAUGGUCUCCACGGGUGAUCACAUGGUUGAUGCAGCAUGAUCUUAUCUGUGGCAUUUUCUAUGUAAAAUUAGUUUACAAAAACAGAAGUGGUAAACGACUCUUUAGAAAGAUCACAAAUAUAUAUGUAUGCAGCUACUAUGUGUUAUGUUAUUUUGUUUUAACCAACUGGACUUGCAUUUUUGUUCUGUGACAUUAUACGGAAGUUCAUAAUUGUGUAUUGAACAUCUCCGCAUGGGAAAAAAAUAGCUUCAUCGGUUCUGUGUUUACCCAGCCAUUUUUUCCUAUUUCUUGUUCCAUUACAUAUGGUGUCCAAGUGUGAUUGACUGAUGGCCUUGUACUUGUGAAGCUAAUAUUCGAACGAUUCUGAAAAAUAUUAGGUUGCAUUUAUUUGGUUAUUAGAUUAUAUCUUUAAACUGCUGCGAUGACUAUCAAUGUUUUUUCACUGUUUGUCUAAAGAGUGUUUUGAUCCUGCUACUGUUUUGAUCCUGGCAUUAUCUAAAGAGUGUUUUGAUCCUGCUACUGUUUGUGAAGGGAAAAGAAGUGCUUCAUUGGAAGAGUUACAGCAAAAUACUUGAUAAAAGUAGAUUUUAGUUGAUGUCCAGACAUAAGACAGUCUUUUGGAUGUUAGUUAGAACCAUACAAAUAAAUUAGAUUGCGAUGCAACACAUGCAGAUAAAAGAAGUGAAGGUUGCACGCCGGCUUUGGUCCAUGGGAAAAGGGAGGCGAUGCAUAUAGUGAAAUUGAGGGAGGAAUAGAAAGAUGUGAGCAGUGGCGGCAUGUGGCAGCAAGAUGUUACCUUGCUAAUUGUUGGUGUUAACAGACAUCUACCACUAUUUGCUGUCCAAUGAGUGUACCCAGCGAGUUGUCGCCUUCCUAAUUGUCGGUGCUGUCAGACUUGUACCACUGUAAGUGCUAUUGCUUUGUGUCCUUCCCAGUGCAGAUUCUCUCUUGUACUCCUUCCUAGGAAUACCAUAAUAUUGGAUUUUUUCUCAUGGUUCUCUUGAACUGAAAGGGCUACACGAUAGACGAACUUCUACAAAGAACAUAAAAUUCGCAAAAGUGUAUGUCCGGAUGGAUUUGAAAUAAUAAUCGCAGUAUGGCAUCUACUCCUUAUAUUGGUUGAUGUUAAGUAUUGUUACUCCAUCUCAGUAAUAUAAAUAGUUUCUUAGUUUCACUGGAUAAGCUUCUAAUCAUCUAUAUUUUUAGAUUACCUACUUGUUCUUCUAGGUUCUGUUUCUUCUAUUUUAUCUCAAAACUGACCGUUUGUCUUCUUGCGGUCUUACUGCUGCGGUACCUGUAUAUUUUCUUUUGGCUCAGCGGGCCUCUGAGUCUUCAUCUUCAAGCAUUGUAUUUUUUAAUUUUGCUUGAAGGUUUUCUUUUCCUCACGUACAACCCUUUCCUUUCUUACUGGCACACUUGCUUCAGUGCAUAGUCGAUAUGUGUCCCUUUCUUUUACCAUUUGAGAGAUAAUGUGAUGCUGAUAUUUGACUUCAUGCCCAUCCUCAUUUACGACAGUCCUAUCAGUACUGGGUGGUUCUUUCACAUGCACCAGUUGAUAUAACACUUUUCCAAGUGAUUUUUAUUACUGUAUUUCGUAACUGCAAAACAAAAAAUAUUGAAGAAUUAAAGUCGCUCGUAAUAAUCCAAAAACAGAUGUAUAAAAAUAUCAGUUAUCUUUUAGCCUGCAUGUUCGGUUUCUUCCUUUCAUGUUUUAACAUUUCAUAACUUCAUGAGCCAUCAAAUCCUAUGUACCAUAUAUGCAUUUGUAAGAAGAAUUAUUGAAGUAAUUAGGAAUAUGGUACAUACAUUUUAAUGUACUAAAUGCAACUUUACCUCCUCAACUUUAUUGUUCAAGUAUGACAUAUCAAGCUUAUCAUCAGCAAAAAAUGUUCAUUUUAUUGCAUAGUUUUAUGUGCCGAAGGUGAGAUUACAACAUUAAGCUUGAAUCGAAAGUUAAGUCAUAAUCCACAUAGUUGUUGUAUAAUCUUGGCACUUCUUCAGAUUUUCCGUCCAAGCAGAUCAAGAAAAAAUAUUCAUAGCUGCAUGGAUGAGUGUUGUCCCGCACUGCACAAUUUCCCCAUCCAUGUCGUAGAACGGAUGUAGCCAACCUGUGAGGCAUCAGUUGAUUGUGCCCGCAACCGUAUUUGCAUCAAAACACCACCAGUACAGUACGUCCUCCAUGCCUCCGGCCUCCAGCAAGCGACACAAUAAGAAGCAGAGGAGACCCCGUGCUAGUAUCGGCCGGUUGCAGAUAUUGAUGUAUCCCAUCCCAAGCGGAGGCGUCAAACAACGCUGGCCUCUUAGGUCACGCCGCCUCUCCUCACUUCAUUAUCUCUAACUGCUGAGUGUUGGGUCCCAAUGUAAUCAGCGCCCGCCAGCCACCAGCCAAGACGUGAGAGUUGGUACAUGGCGAGAGAGGUGGAGGAGGAUCCGGAGAACAGGGGAUUGAUAGCGAGGUGGAAGAGGAGGCUUCAAUGGGAUUUUGCGGCUAAUCGAGGACGGCCGACGAUGCCAAAGUUGUGCAUAUCAUGAUCUGCAUGCUGCGGAGGAGACCACAGGAGGAAGAUCUGAUAUGAACAUGUAACAUGACAUCAUCCUUAUAAAUUAGUUUUAUCUGUUUGGCUGGAGUCCAGUUGGUUUGUAAAUCUCGUAACACAUGUGCCUUUUUGCUUUACGGCAAUAAACUGGAGCUAGAUUGAUUUGUAAUCUCGUAACACAUAUGCCUUUUUGCUUUUCGGCAACAAAGACAUGUUGUAACGCACCUUUUGCUACGUAUAAA